AGUGAACGCUGGCGGUAGGCCUAACACAUGCAAGUCGAACGGCAGCACAGUAAGAGCUUGCUCUUACGGGUGGCGAGUGGCGGACGGGUGAGGAAUACAUCGGAAUCUACUUUUUCGUGGGGGAUAACGUAGGGAAACUUACGCUAAUACCGCAUACGACCUACGGGUGAAAGCAGGGGAUCUUCGGACCUUGCGCGAUUGAAUGAGCCGAUGUCGGAUUAGCUAGUUGGCGGGGUAAAGGCCCACCAAGGCGACGAUCCGUAGCUGGUCUGAGAGGAUGAUCAGCCACACUGGAACUGAGACACGGUCCAGACUCCUACGGGACGCAGCAGUCGGGAAUAUUGGACAAUGGGCGCAAGCCUGAUCCAGCCAUACCGCGUGGGUGAAGAAGGCCUUCCGGUUGUAAAACCCUUUUGUUGGGAAAGAAAAGCAGCAGGUUAAUACCCCGCUGUUCUGACGGUACCCAAAGAAUAAGCACCGGCUAACUUCGUG
rnacentral:rRNA from 1 species